rnacentral:lncRNA from 1 species
AUACACGAAAAUUCAUAUACAAACCGACAAAAAGAAAACAGAAUACAAACACAUAAACACAAAACGCAUUCAGCCACAAUAAAAAAGCAGACUACAAAACACACAUACGCAUCGUCAAGCACAACAAAACUACAAAACACGCAAACAAAACGUCAAACACAACCUAGCGAAAAAAGAAACAGAAUACAAAACACUCAAAACACAGCAAAACUCGAACAUACACAAAAAAUUAUCAAAACAAAAACAGUAACUCACAAGUCACAACACAAAUUUUUUACAUACCAAUAAAUGCAAAGUCCUAACAACUACCAUAUUCAAUAGUGUUUAUCGUACCAUUUUUUCAUAUGAUAUUGUUUCCCAUGAAUCAAUCAGGCGCCAAGAUCACUGAUCCUCUGGAGAUGAGCUUCCAUGCCAUUUCUCACUUCAAAGCAGUCUUAGGACCUGACUUCCUUCCUCCCCUAUGGAGCUCUCCUUCGGAAUGGUUUCAUAGUUUGACUCCUUUCAGAUGUAGUCUUCAACAUCAAGCCUCCAUACUUCUGAUGCCUACAGUGGAAGAAAUUACAAAGCUCAUGUUCUCACUCAACCCCAAUAAAGCGUCUGGGCCUGAUGGACUCACCUCAGGUUUUUUCAAAGCGUCAUGGUCUGUGUUGGGCUUGGAAUGUAUCACUUCAAUACAGCAGUUCUUCAAUUCUGGUUUCCUCCCAAAAACAACAAACUCAACAAUCUUAUCCUUGGUCCCAAAAUUCACUGGAGCAACAAAAAUCUCGGACUAUCGACCGAUUUCGUGCCUGAAUACAAUCUAUAAAGUCAUUUCUAGGCUUCUGGUUCGUCGUCUAAAGCCUAUACUCCAACAACUAAUCAUGCCUAAUCAAACAACUUUUGUUGAGGGGAGAUUACUGGUAGAAAACACAGUGAUGACUAGUGAGUUGGUUAACGGCUAUCACAAGAACAUGAUAUCUAAGAAGAUUACUAUAAAGGUCGACAUUGCAAAGGCGUUUGAUACGCUAUCUUGGGAUUUCCUCCUCUCAGCUCUGGCUAGCCUAAACCUGUUUGCUCCCUUCACUCGACUACUGAGGACCUGCAUUUGCACGACGUCAUUUAUGGUAGGAUACAACGGAAUGGUGAAUGGUUUUUUCAAAGGGAAACGAGGUCUUAGGCAAGGAGAUCCACUCUCUCCUUACAUGUUUGUAAUUGCUAUGAAUUACUUGUCACUGAUGCUGGAUAGAGAAGCGAGAUCAGGGUACUUAGCUUAUCAUCAUCAAUGUCAGAAGACGAAACUGACACAUCUGUCGUUUGCGGAUGACUUGUUGAUUUUUAUUGAUGGGUCUAUUGAAUCGGUCCAGAGAGUACUUAAGAUCCUGCAUGAGUUUGAAAAAAGAUCAGUUCUAGCGGUGAGCAUGCAAAAAUCAAGCUUCUUUGCGCCUGGACUUACUGAGGAAGAAGUCUCCACAAUUCAAGCCUCGACAGGAAUGACUCGUGGAAGCCUACCAAUGCGUUAUCUAGGAGUACCCCUAUGCACAAAGAAGCUGAACUUGGAGAAUUGCGAACCUCUUCUUCAGCAGAUCUAACAUCGUCUAUCAUCUUGGUCAACAAAAGCUCUCUCUUUCGCUGGUAAAAUGUUGCUGAUAAAAACUGUAAUAUCUGGCAUCUCCACUUUCUGGUGCUCGAGCUUUAUUCUGCCGAAAUCCUGCAUCAACAAAAUAAAUUCGUUGUGUGGUCAAUUUUUGUGGAAUGGGAACAUUGAAGGACAUCAUACAGCUAGAGUGAGUUGGGAGACAGUAACUCUCACCAAGGAUCAGGGUGGUUUGGGAAUUAAGGACCUUCACAAAUGGAAUCUGGCGUGCAUCUUAAAGCUAGUUUGGAUUAUCUUCUUUCGUCCUAACUCGGUCUGGGUCUGCUGGUUUAAAGAGGUAAUACUCAAAGGUGAUGUCUCUAACUACUGGACAAUAAGCACUAGUACUAGACAUUCCUGGUUAGUGAACAAGAUGAUAAAGGCUAGGAAGUUUAUUUACCCGUUGCUUAAAAGGCGAAUAGGCAAUGGUCGAAGUACUCGGUUUUGGUUCGAUAACUGGACUCCUCUUGGGAAGUUAUACACGGCUCUAGAUGCAGGAACUUCCCGACUAGGCAUACCAAAGAUGGCAACUGUUGCGUCUCUCUUCACUGCAGGAUCCUGGAAUUUGCCGUUCGCUAGGACUGAUGCUCAGCUUGCUCUGCAGAUUCAUUUAACAACGGUAACUCUUUCAGAUCAGGAGGAUCACUAUGAAUGGAUGAUAGAGGGAAAAACAAGGAUGAGAUAUAAGACAUGCGAGAUGUAUGAUUACCUGAAAGGUGUUCAACAAAUGGUACCAUGGGCUAAAGUAAUCUGGAUCUCCUAUGGAAUCCCGAGGCAUAGCUUCCUCUCUUGGUUAGUCAUGCUGGAUCGUUGCCCUACAAGAGAUCGACUCAAUAGAGGGGAUUAAAUGUGGAUCCUCUCUGCUUACUAUGUAAUACUCAUCCAGAGUCUAGGAAUCACCUGUUUUUUUAGUGUGGAUUUAGCGCCGAUGUUUGGAGAAGGAUAGUUCAUCGUUGUCAGCUCCAACCUCUCACCGUGUGGGAAGAUAUUAUCCUUCAACUUCAAAGACUACCGAGGGAUCGAGACUCUCACCGACUAACUCUACUGGCGUUUCAGGCUACCGUUUACUGGAUCUAGACUGAGCGAAACACAAGACUGCACCAACAACUCUUCAAAACUCCAGAGACUGUCUUCUCAACGAUAGACAAGCAGAUUAGGAACAGACUGCAGAGCUUUUGACAGGCAAAUCCAAGGGCAUCAUCGGCGAUGACUCAACUGUGGUUUCUCCACUCGUGAAAAGAAAAGGGAAGAAGACAGAUCGCGAUCACCUCAACUCUGUUCUUUCUCGACACUCCAUCGCUCAAUCGUAACCAUCUAACUCUCUUCUUCUCACCACUGGGCCUCUGCUCCAACCUCUCACAGUGUGGGAAGAUAUUAUCCUUCAACUUCAAAGACUACCGAGGGAUCGAGACUCUCGCCGACUAACUAAACUGGCGUUUCAGGCUACCGUUUACUGGAUCUGGACUGAGCGAAACACAAGACUGCACCAACAAUUCUUCAAAACUCCAGAGACUGUCUUCUCAACGAUAGACAAGCAGAUUAGGAACAGACUGCAGAGCUUUUGACAGGCAAAUCCAAGGGCAUCAUCGGCGAUGACUCAACUGUGGUUUCUCCACUCGUGAAAAGAAAAGGGAAGAAGACAGAUCGCGAUCGCCUCAACUCUGUUCUUUCUCGACACUCCAUCGCUCAAUCGUAACCAUCCAACUCUCUUCUUCUCACCACUGGGCCUCUCUGUUUACUGGGAUUGUAGUUCUGAUGAUAUGUGUUUUCUUUAUGACUGGGCUUGGCCCAUAACAAACUUAAACCUAUGGGUUUGUAUUAUUUUAUUUUCUUUUGUUGUUUAAUAUAAAAACUUUUUUUUUUCAAAAAAAAUGUCGAGUAGCUUAUUCUCGCGUCUAUUCAUUCCAUCAAAAACUGCAAGAUGAUUUUCUGUUUAUGUCCAGAUUAUGUUACAAAAGUUGUUGAUAAUAAUCCUGAGACUGAUGACCAUUAUUAACAAGAAAAUUAAGUAGAUAACACAAGUCUACUUGGAUAUUGCUAUCUGAACUUUAAUAAUAAAAAAAAAAAAAAACACAUGUUUCGCCUAAUAUUCAGAAGAAGCAAGAACCGGGGAGAAAUUAAAAAAAAUAAUGAUCAUUAUCAUUUCGUGUCAUGGGUAUUUUAGUAAUUACAUUAAUAAUGGUGUAUACUAAGUACUAACGUGUUUUCGAGAACGUACAGAUUUCGCCGUUCUGUAACCGUUAAUUUCAAAUUUGAGAUGUUUAGCACUGAGGGCAGUUUGAUAACUUCAAUCAACGAUUAUAAAUACAAAACUAUGCGUUAGUCUUUCUCUAAUUCUCUCUACCCGAAGGCUGAAGCGCACAUGCAGGGUUUACACCUCUCGUUCUUCAUCCAACGACCCUCUCGAAUCUCCUCCUCUCUGGUAAAAUCUACUUCUUCUAAUUGCGUCGUAUUUCCUCAAAUCCUCCAAUUUUCAAAUACGUUAUUUAAUCUGAUCGGCUUUCGACGGCCAGGAUCGAAUUCGGUGGUGGAUCAAUCAGCGGGUGAUUUUAAAUCCGAUCCGUCGCUCUACACGGUGCUCCUCGCCGUUGUGGUGUCGUUUAAUUAACAACCUGUCGCAGUAGUAGUCGUGAUCUAACGCCUCCGAUUACGCUGAAAAUCAGGUAUAAACUCUCCCUUUUCUGCAAUUUCAGAGCCAUUGGCGAUGAUGAGUGACUGAAUAUUGCGAAUUCGAUUAAGAUUGAUGAUAUUAGGGAUUUAGAUUUACUGUGAUGACUCUUGCGUUUAAUCAUCAUUAGCAAAAAAAAUCUUGAUUAGGUCAUUAUUAUCCUGAGUUUUGUGGUCCAUGUUGCGUGUAAGCUUUGUUGCUUUAUUUAAUCGAGGAAGUGGUUAAAAGAGAUUUGAUCGACCUUUCUCGAAAGGUAGCUGAUUACAAGUAAUCAGUAAUAUUAUCUUUGGGUUGAUAUCUUUUGUUUUUGUAGAGAUGAAUGUAUCUAAUUAAAGCAAAUGUGUUCAUUGUAAUUGUCCGUAUAGGCAUACAUAGGCAAGAUAUCAGAUUUGUUCGUAGAGGGAAAGCAACACGUUACUUCAUAUCAUUAGGUAACUUGUGCUUUAUAUUCUUAGCAAUGAUUUUUGUUUUGUGUAUUGUUGAUUUAAGUAUUUUAGUUUCAGGUUGUUUUGCUGCGGAGACAAAAACGUUGGAAGACGUUUGGGUAUGAGCCAUGUCGAAUGAAGGUUACGUCUCUGUCACUCUCACAUACACAAAUGUUACAUAAUACACGAAAAUUCAUAUACAAACCGACAAAAAGAAAACAGAAUACAAACACAUAAACACAAAACGCAUUCAGCCACAAUAAAAAAGCAGACUACAAAACACACAUACGCAUCGUCAAGCACAACAAAACUACAAAACACGCAAACAAAACGUCAAACACAACCUAGCGAAAAAAGAAACAGAAUACAAAACACUCAAAACACAGCAAAACUCGAACAUACACAAAAAAUUAUCAAAACAAAAACAGUAACUCACAAGUCACAACACAAAUUUUUUACAUACCAAUAAAUGCAAAGUCCUAACAACUACCA